AUUGAACGCUGGCGGCAGGCCUAACACAUGCAAGUCGAACGAGUGGCGGACGGGUGAGUAAUGUCUGGGAAACUGCCUGAUGGAGGGGGAUAACUACUGGAAACGGUAGCUAAUACCGCAUACCAUCGGAUGUGCCCAGAUGGGAUUAGCUAGUUGUUGGGGUAAAGGCUCACCUAGGCGACGAUCCCUAGCUGGUCUGAGAGGAUGACCAGCCACACUGGAACUGAGACACGGGCCAGACUCCUACGGGAGGCAGCAGUGGGGAAUAUUGGACAAUGGGCGCAAGUCGGAUGCAGCCAUGCCGCGUGUAUGAAGAAGGCCUUCGGGUUGUAAAGUACUUUCAGCGGGGAGGCGUUACCCGCAGAAGAAGCACCGGCUAACUCCGUGCCAGCCGCCGCGGUAAUAC
rnacentral:rRNA from 1 species